UUAAGCGACUAAGCGUACACGGUGGAUGCCCUGGCAGUCAGAGGCGAUGAAGGACGUGCUAAUCUGCGAUAAGCGCCGGUAAGGUGAUAUGAACCGUUAUAACCGGCGAUUUCCGAAUGGGGAAACCCAGUGUGAUUCGUCACACUAUCAUUAACUGAAUCCAUAGGUUAAUGAGGCGAACCGGGGGAACUGAAACAUCUAAGUACCCCGAGGAAAAGAAAUCAACCGAGAUUCCCCCAGUAGCGGCGAGCGAACGGGGAGGAGCCCAGAGCCUGAAUCAGCAUGUGUGUUAGUGGAAGCGUCUGGAAAGGCGCGCGAUACAGGGUGACAGCCCCGUACACAAAAAUGCACAUGCUGUGAGCUCGAUGAGUAGGGCGGGACACGUGGUAUCCUGUCUGAAUAUGGGGGGACCAUCCUCCAAGGCUAAAUACUCCUGACUGACCGAUAGUGAACCAGUACCGUGAGGGAAAGGCGAAAAGAACCCCGGCGAGGGGAGUGAAAAAGAACCUGAAACCGUGUACGUACAAGCAGUGGGAGCCCCACCACUAAGCCAGUGGUGAACUCCACAUACGCAUCCUUUGCUGAGGAUACGGUUAACGGAGCGAAAGCGACGUUCAACCUCAAAAGAAGCAGAGGGGGCUUAGUGGUGGGGUGACUGCGUACCUUUUGUAUAAUGGGUCAGCGACUUAUAUUCUGUAGCAAGGUUAACCGAAUAGGGGAGCCGGAGGGAAACCGAGUCUUAAUUGGGCGUUAAGUUGCAGGGUAUAGACCCGAAACCCGGUGAUCUAGCCAUGGGCAGGUUGAAGGUUGGGUAACACUAACUGGAGGACCGAACCGACUAAUGUUGAAAAAUUAGCGGAUGACCUGUGGCUGGGGGUGAAAGGCCAAUCAAACCGGGAGAUAGCUGGUUCUCCCCGAAAGCUAUUUAGGUAGCGCCUCGUGAAUUCAUCUCCGGGGGUAGAGCACUGUUUCGGCUAGGGGGCCAUCCCGGCUUACCAACCCGAUGCAAACUGCGAAUACCGGAGAAUGUUAUCACGGGAGACACACGGCGGGUGCUAACGUCCGUCGUGAAGAGGGAAACAACCCAGACCGCCAGCUAAGGUCCCAAAGUCAUGGUUAAGUGGGAAACGAUGUGGGAAGGCCCAGACAGCCAGGAUGUUGGCUUAGAAGCAGCCAUCAUUUAAAGAAAGCGUAAUAGCUCACUGGUCGAGUCGGCCUGCGCGGAAGAUGUAACGGGGCUAAACCAUGCACCGAAGCUGCGGCAGCGAACGUAUCACUUAAAGCGAUUCAGCGGAUGACGAUUGACGGAGCGAAGCGACGUCAAAGCGUAUACAAAGUCGAGUCGGUUUAAGGAUACGUUCGUUGGGUAGGGGAGCGUUCUGUAAGCCUGUGAAGGUGGCCUGUGAGGGUUGCUGGAGGUAUCAGAAGUGCGAAUGCUGACAUAAGUAACGAUAAAGCGGGUGAAAAGCCCGCUCGCCGGAAGACCAAGGGUUCCUGUCCAACGUUAAUCGGGGCAGGGUGAGUCGACCCCUAAGGCGAGGCCGAAAGGCGUAGUCGAUGGGAAACGGGUUAAUAUUCCCGUACUUGGUGUUACUGCGAAGGGGGGACGGAGAAGGCUAUGUUGGCCGGGCGACGGUUGUCCCGGUUUAAGCGUGUAGGUGUGUGUUCCAGGUAAAUCCGGUUCACUUUAACACUGAGGCGUGACGACGAGGCACUACGGUGCUGAAGCAACAAAUGCCCUGCUUCCAGGAAAAGCCUCUAAGCAUCAGGUAACAUCAAAUCGUACCCCAAACCGACACAGGUGGUCAGGUAGAGAAUACCAAGGCGCUUGAGAGAACUCGGGUGAAGGAACUAGGCAAAAUGGUGCCGUAACUUCGGGAGAAGGCACGCUGACAUGUAGGUGAAGUGAUUUACUCAUGGAGCUGAAGUCAGUCGAAGAUACCAGCUGGCUGCAACUGUUUAUUAAAAACACAGCACUGUGCAAACACGAAAGUGGACGUAUACGGUGUGACGCCUGCCCGGUGCCGGAAGGUUAAUUGAUGGGGUCAGCGCAAGCGAAGCUCCUGAUCGAAGCCCCGGUAAACGGCGGCCGUAACUAUAACGGUCCUAAGGUAGCGAAAUUCCUUGUCGGGUAAGUUCCGACCUGCACGAAUGGCGUAAUGAUGGCCAGGCUGUCUCCACCCGAGACUCAGUGAAAUUGAACUCGCUGUGAAGAUGCAGUGUACCCGCGGCAAGACGGAAAGACCCCGUGAACCUUUACUAUAGCUUGACACUGAACAUUGAGCCUUGAUGUGUAGGAUAGGUGGGAGGCUUUGAAGUGUGGACGCCAGUCUGCAUGGAGCCGACCUUGAAAUACCACCCUUUAAUGUUUGAUGUUCUAACGUGGACCCGUUACCCGGGUUGCGGACAGUGUCUGGUGGGUAGUUUGACUGGGGCGGUCUCCUCCUAAAGAGUAACGGAGGAGCACGAAGGUUGGCUAAUCCUGGUCGGACAUCAGGAGGUUAGUGCAAUGGCAUAAGCCAGCUUGACUGCGAGCGUGACGGCGCGAGCAGGUGCGAAAGCAGGUCAUAGUGAUCCGGUGGUUCUGAAUGGAAGGGCCAUCGCUCAACGGAUAAAAGGUACUCCGGGGAUAACAGGCUGAUACCGCCCAAGAGUUCAUAUCGACGGCGGUGUUUGGCACCUCGAUGUCGGCUCAUCACAUCCUGGGGCUGAAGUAGGUCCCAAGGGUAUGGCUGUUCGCCAUUUAAAGUGGUACGCGAGCUGGGUUUAGAACGUCGUGAGACAGUUCGGUCCCUAUCUGCCGUGGGCGCUGGAGAACUGAGGGGGGCUGCUCCUAGUACGAGAGGACCGGAGUGGACGCAUCACUGGUGUUCGGGUUGUCAUGCCAAUGGCACUGCCCGGUAGCUAAAUGCGGAAGAGAUAAGUGCUGAAAGCAUCUAAGCACGAAACUUGCCCCGAGAUGAGUUCUCCCUGAGACUUUAGGUCUCCUGAAGGAACGUUGAAGACGACGACGUUGAUAGGCCGGGUGUGUAAGCGCAGCGAUGCGUUGAGCUAACCGGUACUAAUGAACCGUGAGGCUUAACCUU
rnacentral:rRNA from 1 species